UACAGAGGGUGCGAGCGUUGUCCGGAAUCACUGGGCGUAAAGGGCGCGUAGGUGGCGACCCAAGUCGUUGGUGAAAGCUCGCCGCUCAACGGCGAGUCGGCCACUGAUACUGGGUUGCUGGAGCACUGUAGAGGCAGAUGGAAUUCCUGGUGUAGCGGUGGAAUGCGCAGAUAUCAGGAGGAACACCGGUGGCGAAGGCGGGUCUCUGGGCCGUUACUGACGCUGAGGAGCGAAAGCGUGGGGAGCGAACAGG
rnacentral:rRNA from 1 species